CUACGGGGUGCUCCAGUGAGGAAUAUUGGUCAAUGGGCGCAAGCCUGAACCAGCCAUCCCGCGUGGAGGAAGACGGCCCUAUGGGUUGUAAACUCCUUUUAUAAGGGAAGAAUAUACGUAUCGUGAUAUGUUUUGACGGUACCUUAUGAAUAAGCAUCGGCUAACUCCGUGCCAGCAGCCGCGGUAAUACGGAGGAUGCAAGCGUUAUCCGGAUUCAUUGGGUUUGAAGGGUGCGCAGGCGGACCAAUAAGUCAGUGGUGAAAUCUUACGGCUCAACCGUGAAACUGCCAUUGAUACUGUUAGUCUCGAGUACGGCUGAGGUAGGCGGAAUGUGUAAUGUAGCGGUGAAAUGCUUAGAUAUUACACAGAACACCAAUUGCGUAGGCAGCUUACUAGACCGUAACUGACGCUGAGGCACGAAAGCGUGGGUAGCGAACAGGAUUAGAUACCCCAGUAGUC
rnacentral:rRNA from 1 species